rnacentral:rRNA from 1 species
AUUGAACGCUGGCGGCAUGCCUUACACAUGCAAGUCGAACGGUAACGGGCCUUCGGGUGCCGACGAGUGGCGAACGGGUGAGUAAUACAUCGGAACGUGCCCGAUCGUGGGGGAUAACGAGGCGAAAGCUUUGCUAAUACCGCAUACGAUCUACGGAUGAAAGCAGGGGACCGCAAGGCCUUGCGCGGACGGAGCGGCCGAUGGCAGAUUAGGUAGUUGGUGGGGUAAAAGCUUACCAAGCCGACGAUCUGUAGCUGGUCUGAGAGGAUGAUCAGCCACACUGGGACUGAGACACGGCCCAGACUCCUACGGGAGGCAGCAGUGGGGAAUCUUGGACAAUGGGCGCAAGCCUGAUCCAGCCAUGCCGCGUGCAGGAUGAAGGCCUUCGGGUUGUAAACUGCUUUUGUACGGAACGAAAAGCCUUCUUCUAAUACAGGAGGGUCAUGACGGUACCGUAAGAAUAAGCACCGGCUAACUACGUGCCAGCCGCCGCGGUAA